GAUUGUAUAUUAAUAUGAAGUUCGAUCUAUAUUUAUUAUAUCUUUUUUUUUCUGUUUGCUUGUCUAUUUGUCAUUCAAAAUAUCACUUCAGUAAAAUCAAAAAAAUGCAACAAGAAUGCUAGAAUUUCAAGACGAAUUUAUCAUUGAAACUACCAUUAAAGAGUAUUUACACAACAAAAUAGACGCUUUUUAAGUGUAAGGAUCAUCACUUCAUAUUAAUAUACAUUCUUAUUGAUUAAAAAAAGAGGUAGGGUCAAACUGCUUCAUUUCAGAUGUUCGGAACAACCUGGAAAUGAGUCAUUUCCAUGAUCGAACACAAAGAUGAUGACACAAUAAUCAAUGUACACUGUAAUUAAACCCACUGCACAUCUCAUUCAGCAUCAGCAUAUAGAUGACAGAAGCUUGGCGGGGGGGGGAAGCAAUCACUGAACAUCAUAUGUGAGUCACAGAAGGAUAAAAGAGAGAAACUGAGUCCAAACUGUGAUGGACAAUAUUAAGUGUGAAAAAUGAGGGGAGGAAAGGACAAAGCAAGAGUGAGUGACCGGCACUGAGGUCCGAGUGGUUUUUAAGGCACCAUCAGCAGCUGUAUGGAGACAGAAUACUGCAAAGUGUUUGUAUGAUGUAUUCUGUGCAUCUCAGAUGGAAGUCUAAAACCAGCUCCACAUAAAUCACACUAUAACUAUUAUUAGGAAACGUUUCAUUCUUUUCUAUGCAGCAUUUACUUACUGAGAGUGUUUAUAACAUCAGGAUCAAUUUGCUGUUCUAAAAUUGUGCCUAAAAAACAGGAAGCAAAUUUACGUCAGCUAUGUAACAGCAAGAAGACACAAACCGGGUGUAUCAUUUUCAAGUGUGUGUCUCUAUGUUGAACACAACAUGGGAAUAGUUUAAAACUGAUUAUUG